rnacentral:rRNA from 1 species
CCUGGCGGCCUUAGCGCGGUGGUCCCACCUGACCCCAUGCCGAACUCAGAAGUGAAACGCCGUAGCGCCGAUAGUAGUGUG